UACGUAGGGUGCAAGCGUUGUCCGGAAUUAUUGGGCGUAAAGAGCUCGUAGGCGGUUUGUCGCGUCUGCUGUGAAAUCUUAGGGCUUAACCCUGAGCUUGCAGUGGGUACGGGCAGACUAGAGUGCGGUAGGGAGACUGGAAUUCCUGGUGUAGCGGUGAAAUGCGCAGAUAUCAGGAGGAACACCGGUGGCGAAGGCGGGUCUCUGGACGAGUUC
rnacentral:rRNA from 1 species